GGUUAGACGAAGAAUUCUUAUAGAAUAAAUGUUUAGUUUAGUUAACGUUGAAUUUUCUUGAGCCUUUUGAUUCUUUUUGUGGGUGAAAUCUAUAUAAAGAGUUGGUCUUUCUUUAAAAAUUUUAAGGAACUAAUAAACUCUGAUUUAAAACCAGGAUUAGAUACCCUGUUAUUCGGAGCUCUAAAAAGACAGGGUAGUAAAAGUCGUUCUUCAAACCCAAAGAUUUUGGCGGCACUUUAUCCAAAUAGAGGAGCUUGUUUCUUAAUCGAUAGUCCUCGUUUUAUCUUUCCUUUUCUUGUAGAGCUUGUAUACCGCCGUUGUCAGAUUACUUCUAGAGAAUGUUUUCUAAUCAGAUAAUUUUUUAACUUCAGGUCAAGGUGCAGUUUAUGAAAAGGCGUGGAUGAGCUACAAUUUCCUAUAGAAAUACGGAUGCUAAUUUUUGAAUAUAGUUGAAGGUGGAUUUAUUAGUAAAUUAAUCUAAGUAAAAUUAGUUGAAUAGUGCAAUAAAGUGUGGACAUAUCGCCCGUCACUCUCUCC
rnacentral:rRNA from 1 species